CCUUAAUUCUCCUCUGUUCUUCAAUAAGACACUGCUAUAGUCAUUGUGUAGAGGCCAGUCCCAUGUUCCUAUGCCUCUGGCCACCAACCAACAACAUUGUGUCCUAUCCUGAGGCUACAUUCUGUCAAGACCAGUACAGCACUGAGUAAUCUGGGCAUGGCUCAGGUGGAUCUUGGCUCUCAAAUCUCUCACAGGCUUCAAUCAAGGUGUCAGCUAGGACUGCAAGCAUCUUGACCCGUGGCUGGAAGGAAUUCUAAACUCAUUCACCUGGUUGUUGGAAGGAUUCAGCUCAUGCGCUAGUGCAAUACGGGCAUUAAAUCCUUACUGGCUGUUGGUCAGAGACUGCAUUUGAUCCUUGUCAGGUGGUUUCCUUACCACUUAGAUCAUAACUCUGCAAAAGAGAAUUUGAAAAGAGUUUUUGCCAAGUACACCUUAUGGAUUAUGAUGUUUUCCUGCAAGUUUGACCCCUUUAUCAUUAUGCAAUGCCCCAUUCUACCUCUGUGAAGCUGACUUGAACCAAGAUUAAUGUAACUACUCCAGCUCUCCUUUGGCUCCUCAGCUGCUGUUACACCCUUCUUGGAUGG
rnacentral:lncRNA from 1 species